UAGGGAAUCUUCCGCAAUGUGCGAAAGCCUGACGGAGCAACGCCGCGUGAGUGAUGAAGGUCUUCGGAUCGUAAAACUCUGUUAUUAGGGAAGAACAAAUGUGUAAGUAACUAUGCACGUCUUGACGGUACCUAAUCAGAAAGCCACGGCUAACUACGUGCCAGCAGCCGCGGUAAUACGUAGGUGGCAAGCGUUAUCCGGAAUUAUUGGGCGUAAAGCGCGCGUAGGCGGUUUUUUAAGUCUGAUGUGAAAGCCCACGGCUCAACCGUGGAGGGUCAUUGGAAACUGGAAAACUUGAGUGCAGAAGAGGAAAGUGGAAUUCCAUGUGUAGCGGUGAAAUGCGCAGAGAUAUGGAGGAACACCAGUGGCGAAGGCGACUUUCUGGUCUGUAACUGACGCUGAUGUGCGAAAGCGUGGGGAGCAAACAGG
rnacentral:rRNA from 1 species